AUUCACCUAAGACAACCUAUUCAGAUCAAUUGUCCAAUUGGUAUCUAAGAUAAGUAAUUGAAAGGUGGUUAUUUAAAUGGAUCCAUUCGCUUAUCUGGCUAAUUUAUUGGUGUCUAAGGAAAGCAACGGGGGGACCCCCACCAAUCUCUACUUACCUGGCUAAUUUAGAAAAUUUAGUCUCAAAUAUAGUUGCUUGAUGGUUUGAUUUAGCCCAUGCCAAUUACAUUAGUCAUGUGAUGGCUAAUUAG
rnacentral:lncRNA from 1 species